rnacentral:lncRNA from 1 species
GGGCUGGCUGGGCAUUGGGGCCUCACUUGUCACCUUUCUGGAUGAGCAACAUGGUGCAGCUGAGCCUGUGUCUUGACUCGCCCGACGCUUGUUUCUUACUCUUUGUGGCUGAAAUGGGAAGUAGAACUCGGCCAGGAUUGGUUCAGCAGUUGUGAAACGUAUUUCAGGGGAAAUUGUGUGUGUGUUGUGUGCGUGUUAAAGGUAGAGACGGACAAAGCAACCGUGGGGUUUGAGAGCCUGGAAGAAUGCUACCUGGCCAAGAUCCUGGUCUCGAAGGACGGGAUGUUCCCAUCGGAUCCAUCAUCUGCAUCACCGUGGACAAGCCCGAACUUGUUGGCGCCUUCAAGGAUUACACUUUGGAUUCAGCAGCUGCCACCCCACCGGCCUCAGUGCCACCUCCACCUCCUCCAGCACCUCCCCAAAACCAGCAGCUCAGCCAUCCAAGCAGGCGCCCGGCAGCUCCUAUCCUCCCCAUAUGCAGGUACGCCCCACUCCCACUUUGCAUUCUUUCCUCGCCCACUUUUCUUAUGGCAUAUUUUGGCUUCGACCCCUCAUAACCUCCAGGUUCUGUGCCUGCCGUGAGCCUUCUCAUAACCUCCAUAACCAGCCUGCCAUGAGCCUCGUUUGCUGAGGGAGCAAGAGAUCACCUGGGCUGUCUUGAUGGACCUGAAGGCCUAGUGCAAACAGAGUGAACGGUUCCAUUGUCCAGGCCUGGGUGGGACUUCCAGUAUCUCUUGAGUGACUUUGAUUCUAUCUGUGGAAAUUGAAACUCGGAAUUUAAAUGCGCUGGUUAUAGAAUUAGAAAGUUCCUUUGCGUGAUGCUCAGGUCUCUCUCUCUUCUUCAGAGGAAUUUCCUCUCCAGUUAAAUGCCUGCAGUGCCUUUUGCUUUAUUUUUUUAAUGCAGGUGAGAAUGGCACAUGUUGAGUAGUGGUAGUGCUGGAUUUUGGAAGGCAUAUCAGUGCAGGGCUGCUUUUUCCCGGUUCUCCUAGAUUCUUCUUCCUGCCUCUCUCCCACGAUGACCAUGGGCACCGUUCAGAGGUGGGAAAAGAAAGUUGGCGAGAAGCUGAGCGAAGGAGAUUUAUUGGCAGAAAUUGAGACGGACAAAGCAACCAUAGGUGAGAAUUUCUCCAUCCUCCGCAGCAAAAUCUCGUGGGAG